GAUGAAGAACGCAGCGAAAUGCGAUAAGUAGUGUGAAUUGCAGAAUUCAGUGAAUCAUCGAAUCUUUGAACGCACAUUGCGCCCAUUGGCAUUCCGAUGGGCAUGCCUGUUCGAGCGUCAUUAUCCUCCCUCAAACCUCGGGUUUGGUGUUGGACCCAAGUUGUGCGAUGAACAACUGGUCUUAAAGACAAUGACGGCGUCCGUGGGACCCUCGAUGCAACGAGCUUUAAGGAGCACGCGUCGAGUUUUAAAAUGACCCUCCGGGCCGAUCUACCUCUCUUUCUCAGGUUGACCUCGGAUCAGGUAGGAAUACCCGCUGAACUUAAGCAUAUCAAUAAGCGGAGGA
rnacentral:misc_RNA from 1 species